GUGAAUCAUCGAAUCUUUGAACGCACAUUGCGCCCCCUGGUAUUCCGGGGGGCAUGCCUGUUCGAGCGUCAUUACAACCCUCAAGCUCUGCUUGGUAUUGGGCUCUGCCGGUCCCGGCAGGCCUUAAAAUCAGUGGCGGUGCCAUUCGGCUUCAAGCGUAGUAAUUCUUCUCGCUUUGGAGACCCGGGUGCGUGCUUGCCAGCAACCCCCAAUUUUUUCAGGUUGACCUCGGAUCAGGUAGGGAUACCCGCUGAACUUAAGCAUAUCAAUAAGCGGAGGA
rnacentral:misc_RNA from 1 species